AGCUCGGGACUGUCACUCAGUGAUGGAUGAUUCUACCCCAACGCGAUCAAUUCGCCUACCACGCGCGUGUACAUGCCUCGGGGGUGAAACUCACCCUUCGUGCUCUUUCCCUUCGCCCUGUCGCGAAUCGCGCCGCUUCCGACCGAUCUAGCGGAAAGACGAAUUUCUUCGUUGGUUACGUGCCAUCGCUGGAGGAAUGUCUUUGAAAGCCACUCCCUGCGAAAAGAGGAAUAAAACUGGGAGGAAGAAGCUCGAAGGAUACUAAAGGCGAGAGCACGGUAGACGCGGAGAACUACAAAGCACACACUGUACAGGGGAGAUAGGAUACACGGUUUGCAGGCGUAUCGACUCGGCCAGCCUGGAACCAGUCAGGAAUCAGCCAGAAACCAGCCAGAAAUCAGGGAUAUUCGAUGGCUUAGCGUUGACACGAUAACACCGGUGUUGCGAAGCCAACGUCAAUGGUGACGAUUGCCGGACGAUGUCGCUGACAGCUUUAUAACGACACUGGAAAAUAAUCCGCGCUCUCCUGGAUCGACUACACCGAGCUGUUUAUUAUUCCAACCGACUCCCAGUGACAGACCUGCGAAUAAAGGCGAUCCCUGAAUACGUUUUUAGAUUACAGAUUACAUCGAAAACGAUUUGCACGUCGUUUGCAACUGCAACCAGAAUGUUUGCCGAAAAUUAGAUUAUCGCUUAAAUCGAGUUCAGUUUCCUUGAGCUCGAUUGAAAUAUCGAUAACGCGUCGGAAAAAUAAAUUGUUUAUUAUUUAUCGAUGUAAGCGUCCGGCUGUUAAGAAAUUUAAUUAUUUUGCAUAGAUAACAAACCACGUGUUCCAUAUUAUAUGAGUAGCGACGAAAGUGUGUGAUUUUUAGACCACAGACAGGCAGGAUGCUUGAAAAUUUAUCGAGAGUGGCAUUGGAAAAAAGCGGCACCGAUUAACGUGAAACCUUAGACGACAGACAGUAACCGAAAACCGUGAAACACAUGUUCGAUUCUCACAGCUCCAUUUUUUCGAGGUUGAUACCGCUCGCUACCAAGUUGUAUACGCAGUCUGGUUGGAGUACACACGAUGGUUUCGAGUGUUCGUCUACAAACAAAAUCCGGUAUGACACGCCAUAAGCUAUUGAUUUCAAUGGGGGUGGAGUUUCGGAGGGGGUGUACGUACAGUCGUGAAUUAACGUUUGGUGUAUCAUCCGCGUAUCUUAUUGUAAAAUAAUCAGUGUGCCAACCAGUGUGUUACAUUUAAAUAAAAAGGUGAUACAGGUGUAUUUUUGC